AUACGUAGGGGGCGAGCGUUGUCCGGAAUGAUUGGGCGUAAAGGGCGCGUAGGCGGCCCGGUAAGUCUGGAGUGAAAGUCCUGUUUUUAAGAUGGGAAUUGCUUUGGAUACUGUCGGGCUUGCGUGCAGGAGAGGUAAGUGGAAUUCCCAGUGUAGCGGUGAAAUGCGUAGAGAUUGGGAGGAACACCAGUGGCGAAGGCGACUUACUGGACUGUAACUGACGCUGAGGCGCGAAAGUGUGGGGAGCAAACAGGAUUAGAUACCCUGGUAGUCCACACUGUAAACGAUGAAUGCUAGGUGUAGGGGGUAUCGACCCCUUCUGUGCCGCAGUCAACACAAUAAGCAUUCCGCCUGGGGAGUACGGCCGCAAGGUUGAAACUCAAAUGAAUUGACGGGG
rnacentral:rRNA from 1 species